rnacentral:rRNA from 1 species
GAUGAACGCUGGCGGCGUGCUUAACACAUGCAAGUCGAACGGAAAGGCCGGAGCUUGCUUCGGUACUCGAGUGGCGAACGCGUGAGUAACACGUGGGUGAUCUGCCCUGUACUUCGGGAUAAGCUUUUGAAACUGGGUCUAAUACCCGAUAUGACAAUCUCUUAGAUGGGGUUGUGGAAAGCUUUUGCGGUAUGUGAUGAGCUCGCGGCCUAUCAGCUUGUUUGUGGGGUAAUGGCCUACCAAGGCGUCUACGGGUAGCCGGCCUGAGAGGGUGUACGGCCACAUUGGGACUGAGAUACGGCCCAGACUCCUACGGGUGGGAGAAGUGGGGAAUAUUGCACAAUGGGCGCAAGCCUGAUGCAGCGACGCCGCGUGGGGGAUGACGGCCUUCGUGUUGUAAAAUCCUUUCGCAAUCGACGAAGUCUUUUGGUGACGGUAGGUUGAGAAGAAGCACCGGCUAACUACGUG